rnacentral:rRNA from 1 species
GGGGAAUAUUGCACAAUGGGCGCAAGCCUGAUGCAGCCAUGCCGCGUGUAUGAAGAAGGCCUUCGGGUUGUAAAGUACUUUCAGCGGGGAGGAAGGGAGUAAAGUUAAUACCUUUGCUCAUUGACGUUACCCGCAGAAGAAGCACCGGCUAACUCCGUGCCAGCAGCCGCGGUAAUACGGAGGGUGCAAGCGUUAAUCGGAAUUACUGGGCGUAAAGCGCACGCAGGCGGUUUGUUAAGUCAGAUGUGAAAUCCCCGGGCUCAACCUGGGAACUGCAUCUGAUACUGGCAAGCUUGAGUCUCGUAGAGGGGGGUAGAAUUCCAGGUGUAGCGGUGAAAUGCGUAGAGAUCUGGAGGAAUACCGGUGGCGAAGGCGGCCCCCUGGACGAAGACUGACGCUCAGGUGCGAAAGCGUGGGGAGCAAAC